CCGCAUAAGCCCACGACCCGGCAUCGGGUAGAGGGAAAAGGAGCAAUCCGCUUUGAGAUGGCCUCGCGUCCGAUUAGCUAGUUGGUGAGGUAACGGCCCACCAAGGCGACGAUCGGUAGCCGGACUGAGAGGUUGAACGGCCACAUUGGGACUGAGACACGGCCCAGACUCCUACGGGAGGCAGCAGUGGGGAAUAUUGCACAAUGGGGGAAACCCUGAUGCAGCGACGCCGCGUGGAGGAAGAAGGUCUUCGGAUUGUAAACUCCUGUUGUUGAGGGAGAUAAUGACGGUACUCAACAAGGAAGUGACGGCUAACUACGUGCCAGCAGCCGCGGUAAAACGUAGGUCACAAGCGUUGUCCGGAAUUACUGGGUGUAAAGGGAGCGCAGGCGGGAAGACAAGUUGGAAGUGAAAUCCAUGGGCUCAACCCAUGAACUGCUUUCAAAACUGUUUUUCUUGAGUAGUGCAGAGGUAGGCGGAAUUCCCGGUGUAGCGGUGGAAUGCGUAGAUAUCGGGAGGAACACCAGUGGCGAAGGCGGCCUACUGGGCACCAACUGACGCUGAGGCUCGAAAGUGUGGGUAGCAAACAGGAUUAGAUACCCUGGUAGUCCACACUGU
rnacentral:rRNA from 1 species